AUAGUUUUCAAAAUAGUUACUACAAACGUUUUUCAAACUAAAAAAAUAUGAAAUUAUUUCAAUUAAUCUUGGCAAUUGCUUGCAUUGUGGCUGGUGUUUUAGCUGCUCCAGGACACAACAUUGUAAAAGGCAAUAAUAUUCACGGAGUUAAUCAAAGCAAUUUCGAUAUUGAUGCCGAUCUAAAAGCUUCGUUGUUCUAGUCAUGGAUUAAUUUACUAUUUCAAAUAAUAAUAAAUCAAUGUAUAAAUAAAAAGUCAGUUUUUGAAAACAGAUUAAUAAAAAAAAAAUCGUUGAAACUUUUAUGUUUCCAAAUGAAAA